UACGUAGGGGGCGAGCGUUGUCCGGAUUUAUUGGGCGUAAAGAGCUCGUAGGCGGUUCGAUAAGUCGGACGUGAAAUCUCCACGCUCAACGUGGAGGGGCCGUUCGAUACUGUCGUGACUCGAGUCCGGUAGGGGGAGUGUGGAAUUCCCGGUGUAGCGGUGAAAUGCGCAGAGAUCGGGAGGAACACCCGUAGCGAAGGCGGCACUCUGGGCCGGUACUGACGCUGAGGAGCGAAAGCGUGGGGAGCGAACAGGA
rnacentral:rRNA from 1 species